UUCCUGACAUUGGGAGGUGAAUAAACGUUCCCAGGUUUCUGUCUCACACAAAGGAACAUCUCACUGACUUGACAUGUUCUGGUUUUGAAUUCAGGCUGCAAGGGGUCAUUGAUUGAAAAUGAGUCUCUCUGGGGAGAGAGAGGAGAGGGGYCCUGCCUCUAAAAUUAGUCUCUCUGGGGAACAUGACGCCAAAGCUAAGAGCCCAAUCAAGCAGGAGAGACCAGCCUCCCCUGUACCCAGCUGUGUGUCCAUGAAGAGUGACAAGUCUAUGGGUCAUCCUAUAUACUUUAGAGAGGGAGACUUUUCUACUGAACAAAGAAACCAACAGGAGAGAUCAGAGUCAGAGAUUCUCAGUGGUCAGUCUUCCCAGAGUCGUCAAGCAGUCCUGGCCUCCAUAUUCAGUGUAUGUGGUCCUUUUAUGCACAUUUGUUUUUGUUUACCUCAAGUUA